UGUUUUAGGGUUUAGAUUUGAAGGUUUAAGGUUUUAGGGUUUAGGGUUCGAAUUUCAGAAAAAUAUAAGGUUUAGGGUUUACGUUUAGGGUUUAGAAUUGAUGUUUUAGGAUUUUAAUUUGAAGGUUUAGGGUUUAGGGUUUAGAGUUGAUGUUUCGGGGUUUAGGGUUUAUAGUUGAUGUUUCAUGGUUUAGGGUUUAGAGUUGAUGAUUUAGGGUUUAAAGUUGAUGUUUUAAGUUUAGAUUUAGGGUUGAGGGUUUACGUUUAGGGUUUAGUGUUGAUGUUUUAGGGUUUAGAUUUGAAGUUUUGGGGUUUAAGGUUUAGAGUUGAUGUUUCGGGGUUUAGGGUUUAAAGUUGAUGUUUCAUGGUUUAGGGUUUAGAGUUGAUGUUUUAAGUUUAGAUUAGUUA
rnacentral:lncRNA from 1 species